rnacentral:lncRNA from 10 species
GUUCCCAAACUUGUCUGAACAUUGGAAGUGCCUGGUGAACAUCAGAAACUCCUGGCGCCUGUGCGCCAACCCCAGAGACUGGGAUUUCAUGAAUCACCUCAGAGCUUUCCAAACAGGAAAGGAAGAGGGUCAGGAAAUGUGAGUGGGAAGGGAGGUUUCACACUGAACUCUGGGACUCUGACUUAGAAGAGGGUAAAAGCUUAAUCUCCUGUCCAAGUGACAUUCUCAGAGUCCUUUAAAUGAUGCAACCCUGGGCAAUGACCCCCUCAGCCGUGGAGUAAGAAAGGACUCCGUUACAUAGCUCGGUCUUAAAGCUGCUGUCCCUGUCUCCUCAAACAGUGCCAAAAAAUUUAGAUUAUAUGAACAU